rnacentral:misc_RNA from 1 species
CGCACAUUGCGCCCCUUGGUAUUCCAUGGGGCAUGCCUGUUCGAGCGUCAUAUAACCCCCCAAGCUCUGCUUGGUGUUGGGUGUUGUCCGGUGGACUCACCCCAAAUCUAUUGGCAGCCGGCAGUCGGUGUAGAGUGCAGCACAUUGUUCUCGCGCAGACAGGCCGUCUUUCCACAAAGAAGACCCAUUUUGACCUCGGAUCAGGUAGGGAUACCCGCUGAACUUAA